rnacentral:lncRNA from 10 species
CGGCUCCCGGCUCCGGGAAAGACCUUCUGUUCUCUGCCGGCGCGGAGGGCCGCAGGAACCAGGCCUCUCGCCUCCCCACCAGCUAGGCAGGGAGCGCCCAUCUCCUGAAAAAUUACUUCCUGGGAAGCGGUGCGGGGAGACAGCUUCAAUUGCUUUCGGUUGGUGAAAAACGAAUUCGCUUCUCAGAUUGCUCUCCUAGCUGCCAGGCUCUGACGUUGAGAGGCCGGCUUUCAGCCUCGCGCUGGACCUUCCACAAGUGUUUGCACAUGACCUGGAAGACAGUCAGAGGCAGAAGUCCCUGCAAAUGCUCCUGGCUACUUCCUGCAGGCAGCUCAUGCUGCUGCAGCAGAAGACUUUCCUAUGUCUAGCUGCCAGUAUUCUGGGUGCUGGGGGCAUCCUGUUCCUAGGAUCACAGCCAUGGUGGUAUGUUCUAGAACUCAGAAAUUUACCAAAUCACUGGAUGGACCAGAGGAGUGAGCUCCAGGUUGGGUUUCCAGAAGGGACUCCCAGAACUCUUCCACCAUACAGGCCUCUCAGGGAGCUGCUCCCUCUGCCAUGGUCAGUGAGAGGGGGAAGCAGGAGCCGCCAUUGGGGUUGUUGAGUUCGUGGCUGCAACCCAGGGAUGAGGAAGCUGCUGCUACACACCCAUGAAGCUGAUGCCUGGACAUAAAUCCCUACUGAUAAGUGUUUACGACAUUUCCAGCGUGGUGCCGACACUGCAUGGAAAUGCUGCAUGGAAAGUCCUUAUACAUCUAUCUUUGUGCAUUUAUUGUGAGCACCUACUAUGAGUAAAACCUGGGCUGGUGGCUGGAGAAACAUGAAGAUGAGUAAGAGCCAAUUCCUGUUCUUGGGGAUUUAAUAAUAUAUUCAAGGGAAAAGACACAAAAUAACCAUUUCCAGGUAAACUCUGGUGGGGAGGGUGGGAGGAGAACCGUGGUUUGCUUUUGUGCCCAACACUUCACAUUCCUUACCUCUUUCUCCCCACCGAGACCUUGAGGAGCAGCCUGAGCCAGAGGACCAGCAUCCUCAUCUUCUCUCCACCUCUUACUAGGGGGGUGGCUUUGGGCCAGUUUCUUACAUUCUUUGGGCCACUUUAGUUUCCUUAUUGAAAAAUGGGGAUAAUAAUAGUGGCUACAUCUCAGUGUGAUUCUGAGGAAACCAGAAUUGUACAUGCAGAGCACAUGCACAGAACAGUGCCUGGCACAGUCAGUAAUUGAUCAAUGUGCGCUAUUGUUGUUGUGUAUAUUAGUUCUCCCCUGAUACAGAUGAGAGCUAUCUCUAACUCAGAGACUUGCCACAUCAUUAAAUUAGGAGUGAGAACUGAGCCUGGAUAAGGAAGAGGAACAGGAAUUCAACACAGUGAACACAGCAGGAAAGGCUUGUGCGAAGGCUCUGGGCUGGAGAUGUGUAAAGCAUGUCUGGAGAUGGGGAAGGUCCAUUGGGCCAGGAAACCACAGGCUCUGCUCUCCUGGAGCAGAAGCACAGCGAAAUCACAGCCGAGCAGAGGAGGGCAAGGGAGAGGGCCGCCCCAGUCUGAGAGCUGCAGGGUCUGGCUGGAACUGCUCCCGGCCAGCGGACUUCACCCGGGCGCGGGGGCCGCACCUGCCGGGCGCGGCCUGCUCUAUGGCGCCCUCUGCUGUUAGUCCGCCCCAGGCUCCGCGCCGGCCUCUCCUGGGUCCGUGGGGCCUGCGGGCUGCGGGGAUCACCGAGACCCACAUUCCCGUGGCCAGCAGCCUUUCGCUCUGCUCAGAGGAGAGGCAGAAGGGCAUAUUGCUGUUUCCCAGUCGCUUUUUACACCUGCCUUCUUCGGAUAAACCCAAAAAUCUUCCUUCAGAGAAGACGGCCCGUAUUUCCCGUUAUUUGGGGGUGGAGGUGGGGCUAAGGGCGUCAUAGGGAGAGCCUUACUUUCAACAUUCUGCAUUAUGAAACCAAGGGAGACUUUUUUUCCCAACAAGUGUGAACAUUUUUUUUCAAGAGAAUUAAAUCGUUUAU